UGCACCCCAAAUAGGCACCGACCACGGGCAUCGUCAUGCUCACAGGGGCACGGAGGGGCGGGAGACAGUUGCCCCACGGGCAUUACACUGAUACAAGCGGCGGCCGCAUACAGUACACUACCUUCCAGCUGCACGGGGAAAGCCGGUGUGGCUGCAGCGCAGGGUGGCCGGGCAGCGUGUGAGUUCCCCGGCAGACUCAGGGAGGCGCCGCCAGCAGGACUCUGGAUGCACGGUCCCCUCCCUCAGCAGCUACUUCAGAGUGACUUCUCUACGCUGCCGCCAGGUUUUGCACUGUCUGGACCUCCUCCACAGCACGGCUCCCUUCUCUACAGUGUGCCCUCUCACAAAGUGAAGCUCCGUUCCCUGACAGGAGACCCGGGCAGCGCAGCUCAUCUCUCCAGCAGUCCCCUCACGACAGCUGAGGGGAAUGUGGUUCCGGUGAUUGAGGACUCUCCAAAAUGUGUUCUGGUGGCUGAGGCAACACAGUCGAAAUACGACGUUGGGGUGGGCUUAAUGCUGGUGUUGGUGCCACAUCAGGACGACGUCUCUUGGUAGGCCUGCUCGUGUGGCUGCCAGACCCCUGUGAAGGACGUCUUUGUGGACUGUGAUGCGAUGUUGAAGGUCCUAUGGAUUAAUGCAAACAUUAGAUUGUUUGGAAAUUUUGUGGUGGGCACAUUAAGUGGUGGCAAUUUUGCCUUACCUGUAUCGCCAGCAUCCACAGCUCUUGACAGUGUUGCUUGUGUUCUGGAAGUGGUGGCUUGCUUUCGUACUGUAAAAAGGUUAAGUUGUUGUUUAUUACCAUUAAUUACAGUGUGUACUUUUGGAAGCAGCAACAUUUUGUGAU